rnacentral:rRNA from 1 species
UACAGAGGUUGCAAGCGUUGUUCGGAUUUAUUGGGCGUAAAGGGUCCGUAGGCGGUUUAGAAAGUCGGGUGUGAAAUCCCACAGCUCAACUGUGGAACUGCAUUCGAAACUUCUAGACUAGAGUAUGAGAGGGGUAAAAGGAAUUCCCGGUGUAAGGGUGAAAUCUGCAGAGAUCGGGAGGAACACCAGUCGCGAAGGCGUUUUACUGGCUCAUUACUGACGCUCAGGGACGAAAGCUAGGGUAGCAAACGGG